rnacentral:rRNA from 1 species
CUCCGUAGGUGAACCUGCGGAGGGAUCAUUACAAGUGACCCCGGUCUAACCACCGGGAUGUUCAUAACCCUUUGUUGUCCGACUCUGUUGCCUCCGGGGCGACCCUGCCUUCGGGCGGGGGCUCCGGGUGGACACUUCAAACUCUUGUGUAACUUUGCAGUCUGAGUAAACUUAAUUAAUAAAUUAAAACUUUUAACAACGGAUCUCUUGGUUCUGGCAUCGAUGAAGAACGCAGCGAAAUGCGAUAAGUAAUGUGAAUUGCAGAAUUCAGUGAAUCAUCGAAUCUUUGAACGCACAUUGCGCCCCCUGGUAUUCCGGGGGACAUGCCUGUUCGAGCGUCAUUUCACCACUCAAGCCUCGCUUGGUAUUGGGCAACGCGGUCCGCCGCGUGCCUCAAAUCGACCGGCUGGGUCUUCUGUCCCCUAAGCGUUGUGGAAACUAUUCGCUAAAGGGUGUUCGGGAGGCUACGCCGUAAAACAACCCCAUUUCUAAGGUUGACCUCGGAUCAGGUAGGGAUACCCGCUGAACUUAAGCAUA